ACAAAGUUGUAAAGUGAAUAUGAACAUGGCGAAGGUGCUGAUUCUUGGAAUGAAGUAACUGUAGAACAGACUGUGAAUCCAACUCCACCGAAAUCCACCACUGAAGUACAAACCCCCAGGCGGAACUGUGAAACCUGAAAUCCACCUACCCACAUGGUCAUGAACUACACCACCACCGCGUCCAGGGAUCAUCCUGCAUGCACCAUCGGCAUUCAAUUUAACCCACUUAUGGCAAGGAGGGUUCCAAGCAACUGAAAUUAUUUUCUUUGGCCUAAUAAAACUACCAUCUGAAGCCUUCGACCAGGCAGCCAGCCUCAUUAACAUCUAAACAUUGUCGAAGAAAUUGUAAUUUUGACAAAAUAGAGACAGAUUCCCAUUCCUCCAUCUCCACAGCCACCACAAGACAAUUGCGAAAAUAAUUUUGAUUAAUUGUAAAAUUAUAAUCACACAAUCCGAUAUUUUUUAGCAUUCACAUCAAGAUAAUGCCCAGAAUUCAGAAAUUCCACAUCAUCUGUUGACCUGGGAAAUCAUGAUUAGGCUGUCAGUUAGCAUUUAUACCAUUCCGGUGACCUAGAACUACCCUAGAUCUAUAGAGAGAAUGGCAGAAAACAGGGAGAAACAAAGGAAGCGGGGAGAAAGACAGAAAGAGCGAUAGAGGGGACAGAAAGAUUAGAUAGUUGUUAAAAAAAAGGACAGAACCAGAAAUAUCACAAGCUUUACGAUCGAACCUUCAAGAAUUCUCUCACUCUUCCACUUCUAACCCUAAUUCCACCGUGCAAUUCAGUUCCCUAAACGACGUUGUUCAGCACCUCGAGUCAAAGCUCCGACUCGACCUCUCUCACAAGGCCGAAUUUAUUCGAGCUCAGAUCCAACGGUUCCUUUUCCAACAGCCGCCGCUGUCACAAUCACAGACACAGUCACAAUCACAGUCGAAGCAUCCUCCUCUGCGCAAUAUUCGGAAUGACCAUUUUGCCCUACAACAAACCCCCAAUUUCCACCCUGCUCCCUCCUCUCCUACUGUCUUCUCUGCCUUUCACACUAUCUCUUUCCCCCCCGUUCCUUCUGUCAAGCCAGAAAAGAUUCCUGUUUCGAGCACCGAGGCUCUAAAAGAGAGUGGGCCCAGCAAAGCUAAAAGAAGAGGUCGCCCGGCGGGUCUCAACAAACUUUGUGGUGUUUCACCUCAACUGGAGGUCACUGUUGGGCAGUCCGCUUUGCCAAGGACCGAGAUCGUGUAGCAGUUGUGGGCUUAUAUUAGAAAGAACAAUCUUCGAGACCCAAGUAACAAAAGGAAAAUAAUUUGCAACGAUGAACUGCGUUUGUUGUUUGAGACUGACUGUACUGAUAUGUUCAAGAUGAACAAGCUGCUGGCUAAACAUAUAAUUACCUUCCCACAAGUAGGUUUCUUUGUGUUUAAUUAAUCUUUUUUGUAACUAAAGGCGGAAGCUUUCAUGUGUUGGUGGUUUACAGAACAGCAGGGUUCUAAGAAGCAAAAGGUGGACGAGGAGCCCGUCAUUAUCAGACAGGCCGUUUCAGCUCCUUCCAUAGCAAUCUCUGAAGGACUUGCAAAUUUUUUUGGUGUCGGUGUGAGACACAUGCUCCAAUCAGAGGUCUUUACACGUUUGUGGGAAUAUAUAAAUAUCAAUAACUUGGAGGUAGCUAACUCUCAGUUUGUAUCUUGUGUCUUACAUUCUGUCAGAUCUUCUAAUAUAAUGUGGACUCUGAGAGGUAUUUUGUGAUAA